CGCAUCUGUGCAUGCAGCAUAUCAAUAAGCGGAGGAAAAGAAACUAACAAGGAUUCCCCUAGUAACGGCGAGUGAAGCGGGAAGAGCUCAAAUUUGAAAUCUUAAAGGGUUUCCCUUUACGAAUUGUAGUUUAAAGAAGUGUUUUCUGUUGAGGUUUUGGUAAAAGUUCUUUGGAAUAGGACAUCAUAGAGGGUGAGAAUCCCGUAUUUGACCUUUACUUUCAACUUUGUGAUACACUUUCAAAGAGUCGGAUUGUUUGGGAAUGCAGUCCAAAAUGGGUGGUAAAUUUCAUCUAAAGCUAAAUAUUGGCGAGAGACCGAUAGCGAACAAGUACCGUGAGGGAAAGAUGAAAAGAACUUUGAAAAGAGAGUUAAACAGUACGUGAAAUUGUCAAAAGGGAAGCGUUUGACACCAGUGUUGUUUUUCUGAAAAUCAAUUAAAGAACUGUUUAUGCUAAGCUGUUUAGACUUUAUCAGCUAUCUGUUUAGUUUUGAGCUUUUCUUUAAUGCACUUUUCAGUUAACAAGUCAACAUCAAUUUCUUUUGCUGUAAAAAAGCUUGAGGAAGGUGGCUUGAGAUUCGUCUUAAGUGUUUAUAGCCUCUUGCCUAUGCAGUCGGAGAGAUUGAGGUCUGCAGCGUAGAUCCUUCGGGGCUAAAUGCAUUUGUGCUAAGUUAUAGCAUUGUAUAGACAACUUGUUGACUAUGAUUUGUCUUGUAGCUUACUCGCUUAUGUUAUUUUACCUACGCUUAGGAUGUUGAGUCGUAGAGCACGCAG
rnacentral:rRNA from 1 species